GUCUUUAUGAAUUUUAUGUAAAGUCUAGCCUGCCCAGUGAUAAUUGAAUUUAACGGCCGCGGUAGCAUGACCGUGCUAAGGUAGCAUAAUCAUUUGUCCUUUAAUUGAGGACUGGUAUAAACGGCUGCACAAGAAAUUGUCUGUCUCUACUAUAAAAUUUGAAAUUCACAUUUAAGUGAAAAGGCUUAAAUGAAAUAGGGGGACGAUAAGACCCUAUAAAUCUUUACAAUUAGGGCUUUAGUUAUUAGAAAGUAGUUAUGGAUCUAAAUCUAAGGUUUAAAUUGUUUUGUUGGGGCGACAGAAGUAUAAUAAGUAACUGCUUUGGUUUUCAUAUUAAUUGUUUUUAUUAUGGUUAAUUUAAAAGAUCCUCUUUUGGAGAUCACAGACUAAGUUACUUUAGGGAUAACAGCGUAAUCUUUCUUGAGAGUUCAUAUCGAAAGAAGGGUUUGCGACCUCGAUGUUGAAUUAAAGAACCUUUAUGGUGUAGCCGCUAUAAGAGGAGGUCUGUUCGACCUUUAAAUCUUUACA
rnacentral:rRNA from 1 species